rnacentral:rRNA from 1 species
GGUGAGUAACACGUGGAUAACCUACCUAUAAGACUGGGAUAACUUCGGGAAACCGGAGCUAAUACCGGAUAAUAUUUUGAACCGCAUGGUUCAAAAGUGAAAGACGGUCUUGCUGUCACUUAUAGAUGGAUCCGCGCUGCAUUAGCUAGUUGGUAAGGUAACGGCUUACCAAGGCAACGAUGCAUAGCCGACCUGAGAGGGUGAUCGGCCACACUGUAACUGAGACACGGUCCAG